GAGCGCGGGGCGAGCCGAGGGGUUCAGGGGGGAGCGGUUUGCUUCCCUCGCUCGGGCCGAGUGGACGUGCAGCCCGCUUGCCGUCUCCCUGUCGGAACAGCACCUUCUCGCUAAAGCGAUCGGAGGUCGGGCCGGGAGGGCGGGGGACGGAGGCGGGUCAUGGGCUGAGGGGGAGGGUAGGCGAGUGGCGGAAACCCUUAAAUUCAGAGAAGCAUCGAGAACCGGAAGGAGACCUUAGGAGGAAGAAACUGGGCACAGAUUGCUAUUACACCAAGGGGACAGAGCUAUUAAGUGGGAGAAGUGGAAUUUGAAUAAGCCAGGGUGCACAGAUUAGUAAGGAACCUAACUGGAACCUACCAACUAGAAACUCAACAUACAGGGAGGACAAUGAAGUAACCUUCAAAGAAACCAGUUCCUGUUGCCCUAAUCUAACAAGUUUCAACAAAGAAGUACACUGAAACUUUACUGCUAUGCAAUAAAGCACAGCAAACUGGGAAAAAUUGUGGUCAGA
ensembl:antisense 4930539J05Rik RIKEN cDNA 4930539J05 gene